rnacentral:rRNA from 1 species
AUGCAAGUCGAACGGUAACAUUGGUGCUUGCACCAGAUGACGAGUGGCGCACGGGUGCGUAACGCGUAUGCAACCUACCUUUUACUAGAGUAUAGCCCAGAGAAAUUUGGAUUAAUCCUCUAUAACAUCUUUUAAUUUCAUGAUUUUAAGAUUAAAGUUUUAACGGUAAAAGAUGGGCAUGCGUCCUAUUAGUUUGUAGGUGAGGUAACGGCUCACCUAGACUACGAUAGGUAGGGGCCCUGAGAGGGGGAUCCCCCACACUGGUACUGAGACACGGACCAGACUCCUACGGGAGGCAGCAGUAAGGAAUAUUGGACAAUGGACGAAAGUCUGAUCCAGCCAUGCCGCGUGCAGGAUGACAGCCCUACGGGUUGUAAACUGCUUUUAUACAGGAAGAAACACUCCGACGUGUCGGAGCUUGACGGUACUGUAAGAAUAAGGAUCGGCUAACUCCGUGCCAGCAGCCGCGGUAAUACGGAGGAUCCAAGCGUUAUCCGGAAUCAUUGGGUUUAAAGGGUCCGCAGGCUGUCUUUUAAGUCAGAGGUGAAAUCCUACAGCUCAACUGUAGAACUGCCUUUGAUACUGGAAAACUUGAGUUAUUGUGAAGUGGUUAGAAUGUGUGGUGUAGCGGUGAAAUGCAUAGAUAUCACACAGAAUACCGAUUGCGAAGGCAGAUCACUAACAAUAUACUGACGCUCAUGGACGAAAGCGUGGGGAGCGAACAGGAUUAGAUACCCUGGUAGUCCACGCCGUAAACGAUGGAUACUAGCUGUUCGUCUAACAUUGGGUUAGAUGAGUGGCUAAGCGAAAGUGAUAA